UUCUUAGAUACGUGGAAUGUGGUGUUUCCAGUGUGUUCUAGUAUAUUCCAGCAUAUCCAUAGUAUUCUGUAUCCAUAGUGCUGUAGUUAACAACAUAUCCCAUAUAUGGAGAUUACUCGGGUAACAAUAUUGUCAGCGUGCGCGUUGCAUAGAGCUUGUAUCCCUGGACCCUGUAUCCCUGGAAGCAUAUAUGCUAUAUAAGAUGGUGUGUUGCUACAAUAAAAUCGGACGCAUCUCAUAUUGAGUUGAUCGUGCGUUCCCCACGCGAGUACCGGUAGAGCAACCCUUUUGGGGAAACUUGGGGCGUUCCCCAACAUACUGGGGCAGAUCCUGCUGUAAAUCUUAGUAUAGGUUAGUUCAAUUGUCCAGAUCCAAAAAAGUGAUUUGAUUCUAGAUGUCUGUAACAAGUAUUUCAUUGCUGAUAUCUUCAAGUUAUGUCCAGAAAGAUUUCUUUUGCCAUUUAUCAUAGAAUUGAAAGUAACCUAUCUAAUAUAUCAUAAACGAUAAACAUCACUGAGGUAACCUGUCUGAUCUAGUGACGUAUUGCAAGUGUAAACUGAGAAAGUGGCAGCUCAGAGCACAACAGAGAAACAUGGAGUGAGCACUGCAGAAAGAUGAACAGAUUCUCCUUAAUUGUUUUGUUUUGUUUUGUUUUUAAUCUCGCAUUUCAUUCCUUCUGCCUUCUUGUCUUCCUUAACUUAAGUAUCUGAAAGGUGAAGUGAAGCUUUACUAGGCAAAGAACACAGUAGAACACAACAGAAACUCCGGUUGAUUCAGAGUAUUGCUUUCCGUCUAUCAAUAGGACAAGAAGCUGUAAGAUUGUGAAUUGUUUGAAUAUAGUCUGCUUAUGUUUAUACAUAGCAUGUUCUUUGUUUUCUGCAUCAGUAAUACAGGCUGAUUUUAUCAUUCUUUAGAAUAUAUUCAAUAUAUAACAUAUCAAACAGGUGGCAUUGAAGACUAUGGUCUUCUUAUCUGGAAGAAAUAUUGCUCCAUUAUUAUUUCUUAUGUUUCCACUCCAUUUCUAUUAGUUAGUCACAAUAAUUCUAUGUUAUAAACUGAUUUUUAAGAGUAGAGACAUGCCUCAAAUUUUGUGGUGCACAUUAUAUUGGUAUUGAUCCUAUUAAAAUUUUACCUCAGGAAAAAAAAAACAAACAAAAAAAACAGGUAAAUAGGAAAACAUUGUUUUAAAGGGAAAGAGUUUUGUUGAUGGAUUUGUGUUACACCAUGAUUAAACAAAGGCCUUUGAUGGAACAAUGUAUCCAGGUUUAAGACAGGAUGAUUUCACCCACCUGAAUUUGUCCACUCGUGAUGAGAAUUGAAGUCUCUAAUAUUUGACUCCAGUGAGAACUUUUAUCUGCAAGCUAUCUGUUGUGUGUAUGAUCAUGUCUCUCUGUUAUAUCAGAGAUGGAAUUUCUAGUAUUUCUCAAAAUUGGAAGAAUUAUGCUCAUUCCUCUGUACCUCUUAUUAUGCUCAUUACCAUAUAACUUCUUCAGAUCUCUUCAUAGCAGCAGUUAUCCUUCCCAGUUUUGGCUAACUGAACCAACCAGAAGCUUUGUUCAGCAUCUCUCCUAGAAAACGCAAACACUGUUUAACCACUGAGAUGUGAAGUAGUAGAGAUUCUUUGCCCUCAAGCAAGCAAUCAUGUUUUAUUCAAAGAAAUAUAGUAAUGAUUUCUUUUAUCCACCAAGCCCCAACACCUUAGUAAAGUUCCAUAUUUUCUGGACUUAUAUUAAAAGAAUUCUUUCCCUUAUCACUUCUGAUGCCUGAAAGAAGACAAAAGCUAUCAGAUAUUCUUGACUCUAUCCUUACCUAUGAGACGUGAGUUCAGGGCGAUCUGUCAGAAAAUCUGACCUGCAGGCAAGCAGAGUAUCAAUUAAGGGGGAUGUGAGGGUGAGGUGUGAUGCUUCAAUAUCUUUCUCUACAUAUUGGCAAUUGAUUCUUCAGAAAACAGCAAGAAAAUCUCAUGUUGAACUAUCUAAGCAGACAUGUUUAAGGGCAGAUAGCUUUCAAGAGGUCUGCGACAUUUAUUGCUCUGUUUAUUACAAGGAUUAGAUAUGUCACUUGGGCUCCUCUAAAUCCAAAUGCCAUUAUAGAUGAAAAACAGAAUCAAUCUGUACUUCAUCAGUGUGCAACAACCACAGUCCUAAGGUCCUAUGAUUGUUUUGUUGGGCUACUAGAGCUCCACAGUAUUUCAGUGGGAUAUUAGGAACAUAAAUAUUUAGUUGGCUCUGGUGCUUAUCACAUCUUCCAUCCAGCUGUCUGCCAUCUGGGCUUCAUUCUUCAGGUUUAUUGCUGAGAGCUACCACUAGCCAUGUCCAGGUUUGUUCUCAAACACAGAGUUAAGAACAUAAUGGGCAAAGAAAAAAAAAAGAGAAAAAAACACAAAAACAUUACAAAAGCACACAAAAAAAUUGCAAUCUCUGGUGCUUCAUAAACACGAAGUUCAAAAAGAAAACUGCAGCUGUGAAAGCAAAUAUUCUGUUUCAUCUACAUCAGAGAUGAGAAAAUUACAUGAAUUAUCCUUCAAAAAUGGUUAAGAGGAAGUCUGACAAUCAACUUGAGGAAAAGGAGAGGAAAAUUCCUGGUCAACCUGUGAUUAUAUCCUAUCAGAGCUAUAAAUUUGAAUCUCAGAUCUGAAGAAAUGUCUUUAAGACAUUAGGCUGAAAGAUGUGGAAUUAUUUCUGUGUUAAUUUCUCAGUUUCCAUUUGACAGAGAAUCAGUUCAAGAAGGACUUUUUUCUUACUCAGAAAUGACAAGAAAUUUUACCUAGAGUUUGUAUGUUGGAUGUUAGUUACUCAAAUAAGUUCCAUGUAGUCAUCAUUAAAAAAACAAUGUAAAAUCUACCCUUACCAUCCUUCAUCUCUAGUUUUAGAACUUGUGCAAAAUGUGGGGAAAGCAUUUCUUGAAAAGUUCCAGUUUACUUUGGAAAUCCACCUGAAAAUCCAAUACUGCACAAGUUAUAAAAGAAACUUUCCUUUCUGAUCAUUCCUUGUCCUUGUCCCCUAACUGAUGGAAUGCAGCUGGAAGAGCUGAAGCUGCUGGAGCAAAUCCAUCUCCUACCAGAGCUGGAUGGUGACAGCUCAGAACAGCUGAAUCACUGCAGAAUGUCUCAGACGUUGGUGCCCAAGGACUCACCCAUCUGUGCCAUUGUAUGUAGGCAUGAUAAAUCCAAUAAGAAAACACUUCCUUUUAACAAAGCAUGAAAGCUGCGUUUACUCAGAUAUCCUUUAAUUAGAGCAGCUGCCACUAAAAUAAGUACUUUGACUAGAAAAAUAAAGAGAUCUGCUAUGCCUUUUGCUCUGCUCAACCCACUUGAAUGUAGCCAAAACAUAAGACAAAUAUAUUAAUUGAAUUAAUGUUUUAUAGAACCAGAUCUAUUCAGCCACUGAGUACUCACAGACCUAAACAACAGCUCUAUUAAUUAUUACCCAGAAUUCUCUACUUAGAGCCACAGCUGUUUUUCCAUUUUGCAGACAUUUUUCACAAAUUACUAAACUACCUAAAUUAAUCAAAAUUCUAAGGCCAAGUGACAUGAACUGGAAAGAGUUUUAUCUCAUAAGCUGUGUGAUUCCCCACUUCGCUAAUUUAAAACAUCCAAGCAACUUUACCAAUCAGCUUUCAUCUCUUAAUAAAAUUACCAAAAUAUUGAAACUCACAGCCCGGAUAUCUUGAUGGGGUAGGAGAGAUGUCUGGACAAGCAGCUGCCAUUCCUUGGACCCUUUGGAACAUGCAUCUAACACAUUCCCUAAGCACACUCUACACUUCAAUGCACUAUUACAAAUAUCUGCCGAGAAGAUUAGUACCUACUAGGAAGCUCAGAUCACAAGGUUUUCAGAAACCUUUCAGUGAGAUCUGGGAAGGAGGAGGCUUCAUUGGGAAAACAAUGAGUGAUGACAAAACAGACUCAGAGACAAAUGCAAGGCUUUUCAUUGUGUAAAAAGAUGCUGCAGCUGUCUUCACGGUUUUAUUUCUUCAGAGGAGGAGUGAUCUGGCAUGAACAGAACUGAGGACUUGCAACUGUGUUCUUGUGAAACAUAAGAGUCACCUUUCAACUUCUGUUUCUGAUCACAGAGGAAAUGAAACACAUGAACAAUACGAGAUGCCACAUGUAAUUUUUCUGGGAUCGAGGAGGAGAGGAGAGGGGAGGGGAGGGGAGGGGAGGAGAGGACUGAUCAACCUCCAGAGAUGUCAUCCUUCAGGAUCCACUACCACCUCUCUACCUUUGGGUAAAAUAUAAUGAAGGAGAAAAAUAUAUAAGUUUAUUGAAUUCCCCUUCCACUUCUGCCAUCUUCCUCUGGUUCCAUUUAGUAUAUCAAUAAUACACCCUUCAGGUUAACAUGGACAUGUUCUUGAGUAGAAGGCUUAUCAUUAAUUCUCCUAUGUUUCUACUGCUGAGCAUUCUCACAGUCUAUCUCAUUGUUCUUUCUGGGAACUGAAGAUGCUCCUCAAAGCUGAAGGCUUUUGUAGUUGUUUAUGUUUGUUGUUGCUUGUUUGUUUUUUUAUCUUUUCCUUGAUGCACUCAUUUUCUUGAUUAGAUUAAAUUGGCCCUUCCCCUUCAGUAUGUUUCCAGAAUGCCGUUUUCUGAUUAAAUUAACUACAGUUUUCUGAUGCAGUUUACAUCACGUCAGUUUCAUCCUUUGGGAUUUUCAGCUGACACAGUGCCCAGAGGGUACUUUUAUUUCCAACAGAUGCCUGGACCAUUUGUUUCUUUCACCUCAGGCAGUUGGAGAGGGCAAUAAAGAUAAGUGAAACAACUGGAGAUCAACUGUAAACCAGCUGUAGUUCAAACUUUUCUGUAAUGUCCUCUCUAAACUUCCGAGACAUCUUCCUGCAUUUCUUUUGUAUAUCUUCUUAUACAUUUUUUGUAGCUAAGAAUGAAAUGCUUGAUUUUGGAUGUAGCAUCAUUUAUAGACCCAAAACAAUAUUUCACCAUGGAAGGAACAAUUGUAUGGAAUUCAUGCCUUCAGCACGCAUUUACAGAUGGAGUGAACAUAACUGCUUGGAAUUUUGCUUUGCUCCAGAAAAGAAAAAAAAAUAUUCCAGGAAAUAAAAUCUACACUCAUACUAGACACUGCAAUAAACUUAGAAGAGCUUUCUGUUGUUAUUUCAUUUCAACAAUUCUUUUAGCUAUUUAUUUCUUCUUCAAAUUCAAAGCCACCUGCAACCAGAAUCUUGUAUUUUAAUAUGGAUUACAGAAUAACUAACACAUUUUGAAGCAAUAUAUUAAGCCAUGGAUAUGAAGAGAGAUGUUUCUUCAACUGCACACCUAAUUUGAAGUGCUGAAAAAUCUUUCUCCAAUUAGGCAAAACUGACAGAAAGCUCCAGAAAAGUUCCAUUAUGGCAGCAAUGAAGAUGUCAGGAGUGAUAUAACUAAUAACUAAAGAAUGACAAGUCAGUGAAACAGAAAAAAUAUAACAAAAAAAUUAAGAUGUAUUGAUGACACUUAAAGGAGAAACAUGAAAAGCAUACAUGCACAAUAACUUGCUUAUGCUCCCCCCACUUCUUUUUUAAUUAAGCUUUUCCACCAAAAAAAAUAUUUUAAAGCUAUUACAAUGCUGUUCUUUGUUAGGUGGAACAGGAUUUGAAUGCCCACCAUUUUUCACACUUCUUUUUACUUCUAGCUUCACCAGGAAUAUAUCAGCACUCUGUACAAAUACUCUGGUUUUAUUGAAUACCUUCUUCUUUCUAAGUGACAGCCUCAAUCAUACCAGACAAAAAUGGAGUGAAGUUUGCAUUAAUGGAAUAUGCUAAACAUACCAUACUCUUCAUUCAUGGAAGAAAUAUUUGCAUAAUUGCCCUAAAUUAGAGGCAUUUAAUUUUAAAUGAUUUAUUAAAAGUUUUAAAAGAUUUUAUUCUCAAUUGCAUAUAAGCCUUUAUUGUACGUCACACAGGACUUCUCUGUUUCUUGUCAAUAUAUUAAAUUGACAGCAACUUUUCUACUUGAGAAGUUUUGUGGGGGAUUUUUGAUACUGUAGUAGGCACAUUAAUCUGGGUACUCUAACCUGAAAGGCUGGAAGGAGAAACUUCUGUGAACUUUCUGUAUAGCUGUUAUAUGCAAACAUAUAAAGUUAAAACAUGGUAUUAA